UCGAGAGUUUGAUCCUGGCUCAGGAUGAACGCUAGCGGCAGGCUUAACACAUGCAAGUCGAGGGGUAUAGUUCUUCGGAGCUAGAGACCGGCGCACGGGUGCGUAACGCGUAUGCAAUCUACCUUUACAGAGGGAUAGCCCAGAGAAAUUUGGAUUAAUACCUCAUAGUAUGUGAGAAUCGCAUGGUUUUCACAUUAAAGUUCCAAUGGUAAAAGAUGAGCAUGCGUCCCAUUAGCUAGAUGGUAAGGUAACGGCUUACCAUGGCUACGAU
rnacentral:rRNA from 1 species